GGGGGCGGAUCGGGCCUGGUGGCUCGGCCGGUCUUCAAAACCGUGACAGAGAAGCCAUCGGCAUGCUCUGGUGGGUUCGAUUCCCACACGCUCCCGCCA
rnacentral:tRNA from 1 species